UACGUAGGGCGCAAGCGUUGUCCGGAAUUAUUGGGCGUAAAGAGCUCGUAGGCGGUCUGUCGCGUCGGAUGUGAAAGCCCGGGGCUUAACCCCGGGUCUGCAUUCGAUACGGGCAGACUAGAGUGAUGUAGGGGAGACUGGAAUUCCUGGUGUAGCGGUGAAAUGCGCAGAUAUCAGGAGGAACACCGAUGGCGAAGGCAGGUCUCUGGGCAUUAACUGACGCUGAGGAGCGAAAGCAUGGGGAGCGAACAGG
rnacentral:rRNA from 1 species